UACGUAGGGGGCAAGCGUUGUCCGGAUUUAUUGGGCGUAAAGAGCGUGUAGGCGGCCAUGUAGGUCCGAUGUGAAAACUGGGGGGCUCAACCUCCAGCUGUCGUCGGAAACCAUGUGGCUAGAGUCCGGAAGAGGAGAGUGGAAUUCCUGGUGUAGCGGUGAAAUGCGCAGAUAUCAGGAAGAACACCUAUGGCGAAGGCAGCUCUCUGGGGACGGUACUGACGCUGAGACGCGAAAAGCGUGGGGGAGCGAACAGG
rnacentral:rRNA from 1 species